CGGGGUGUAGCGCAGCCUGGUAGCGCGCCUGCUUUGGGAGCAGGAUGUCGGGAGUUCGAAUCCCCCCACCCCGACCA
rnacentral:tRNA from 2 species